rnacentral:lncRNA from 1 species
GCCGACUGUUGUGGGCCAAGACACGGCGCCUUCGUACCUUCCUGUUUGCGGCCGUAUCACGUUUUAUAGACACGCAAAUGUGGACUGACGGGAUUCUUCCAUGCCGCACCGAACACAAUCCGGAGUGCUGAGCACCUCACGUGGUCAACGUCAUGUGCGGCCUACUGCGGCAUCCACGACGUGCAGCCUCUGUCACGCAGAGAACCAGCAGCCGUCUUAAUCUACGGGUCCAGCCGCCUACUCGGAGAUGCCAGGACACAGCGCCUUCGUCACUUCCUGUCAGCGGCCGUAUCGCCUUUUAUGGACACG